rnacentral:piRNA from 1 species
UCCAAAGAGCCAGGGAUUGGUUAGUUACC